rnacentral:rRNA from 1 species
UGCGCAGGCGGUUUGUUAAGUCAGAUGUGAAAGCCCCGGGCUUAACCUGGGAACUGCGUUUGAGACUGGCAAGCUGGAGUCUGUCAGAGGGGGGUAGAAUUCCACGUGUAGCAGUGAAAUGCGUAGAGAUGUGGAGGAAUACCGAUGGCGAGGGCAGCCCCCUGGGAUAAGACUGACGCUCAUGCACGAAAGCGUGGGGAGCAAACAGGAUUAGAUACCCUGGUAGUCCACGCCCUAAACGAUGUCGACUGGUUGUUGGGCAACUUGAUUGCUUAGUAACGAAGCUAACGCGAGAAGUCGACCGCCUGGGGAGUACGGUCGCAAGAUUAAAA